rnacentral:rRNA from 1 species
AGGGAAAGCGGCGGACGGGUGAGUAACGCGUAGGCAACCUGCCCCAUACAGGGGGAUAGCCACCGGAAACGGUGAUUAAUACCUCAUAAAGCAUAGAUAACACAUGUUAAAGAUGUCAAAGAGAAUUCGGUAUGGGAUGGGCCUGCGUCUGAUUAGUUAGUUGGUGAGGUAACGGCUCACCAAGGCGACGAUCAGUAGCCGACCUGAGAGGGUAGGCGGCCACAUUGGAACUGAGACACGGUCCAGACUCC